GACGAACGCUGGCGGCGUGCCUAAUACAUGCAAGUAGAACGCUGAAGGAGGAGCUUGCUUCUCUGGAUGAGUUGCGAACGGGUGAGUAACGCGUAUGUAACCUGCCUGGUAGCGGGGGAUAACUAUUGGAAACGAUAGCUAAUACCGCAUAAGAGUAGAUGUUGCAUUACAUUUGCUUAAAAGUUGCACUUGCAUCACUACCAGAUGGACCUGCGUUGUAUUAGCUAGUUGGGGAGGAAACGGCUCACCAAGGCAACGAUACAUAUCCGACCUGAGAGGGUGAUCGGCCACACUGGGAAUGAGGAACGGCCCAGGAUCCUUAGGGGGGGAGCAGGAGGGGAUCUUUGGCAAUGGACGGAAGUCUGACCGAGCAACGCCGGGUGAGUGAAGGAGGUUUUCGGAUUGUAAAGCUCUGUUGUAAGAGAAGGAAGAGUGUGAGAGUGGAAAGUUCACACUGUGACGGUAUCUUACCAGAAAGGGACGGCUAACUACGUG
rnacentral:rRNA from 1 species